GAUGAACGCUGGCUACAGGCUUAACACAUGCAAGUCGAGGGGAAACGACGGGGUAGCUUGCUUCCCCGGGCGUCGACCGGCGCACGGGUGAGUAAUGCGUAUCCAACCUGCUUCUGACUGAGGGAUAACCCGUCGAAAGUCGGCCUAAUACCUCAUCGCAUCGUCUGCGGGCAUCCAACGACUAUUAAAGAUUUCAUUGGUCAGAGAGGGGGUUGCGUCGGAGUAGCUUGUUGGGAUGGUAACGGCGCACCAAGGCGACGAUCAGUAGGGGUUCUGAGGGGACGGUCCCCCACGUGGGAACGGAGACACGGUCAAAGCGACUACGCGAGGAAGCAGUGGGGAAGAUUCGGCAGUGGGCGAGAGCCUGAACCAGCCAAGUAGCGGGCAGGAUGACGGGCCUGUGAGGUGUAAACUGCUUUUAGGCGGCGAUAACGUGAGGGACGUGGCCUUCAUUGCAGGUACCGGAUGAAUAAGGACCGGCUAAUUCCGUG
rnacentral:rRNA from 1 species